CCUACGGGUGGCUGCAGUGGGGAAUAUUGGACAAUGGGGGCAACCCUGAUCCAGCCAUGCCGCGUGUGUGAAGAAGGCCCUCGGGUUGUAAAGCACUUUCAGUGAGGAAGAACGCCUGGUGGUUAAUACCCAUCAGGAAAGACAUCACUCACAGAAGAAGCACCGGCUAACUCCGUGCCAGCAGCCGCGGUAAUACGGAGGGUGCGAGCGUUAAUCGGAAUUACUGGGCGUAAAGCGCGCGUAGGUGGCUUGAUAAGCCGGUUGUGAAAGCCCCGGGCUCAACCUGGGAACGGCAUCCGGAACUGUCAAGCUAGAGUGCAGGAGAGGAAGGUAGAAUUCCCGGGGUAGCGGUGAAAUGCGUAGAGAUCGGGAGGAAUACCAGUGGCGAAGGCGGCCUUCUGGACUGACACUGACACUGAGGUGCGAAAGCGUGGGUAGCAAACAGGAUUAGAUACCCUUGUAGUC
rnacentral:rRNA from 1 species